AAGUCGUAACAAGGUUUCCGUAGGUGAACCUGCGGAAGGAUCAUUAACAAAUUCCAAACUUUUAUAAACCCCUUUGUGGACCUUGAUAUAACGUUUUUUUUUGUUUCUUUCUUUUUUCGGAAAGUUGAAAGGGAAAAAAAAGACAAAAAAAAAGGUUUUUUGUUUGUCUUUCCCCUUGGGGAUGACAGACAAGUUCAAGCCUUUCUUUUUUUAGUUUUUUUUUUUCAUUUUUCUUUUUUCCUCGAAGAAAGAAAGGAACAAAAUAUAUAUGUAUCAAACCUGUUUAUCAACUUUACUAUUUUCUUUUUUCUAUUUCAAAAAAAUAUGAAAUUGAAAACAACUUUUAACAACGGAUCUCUAGGCUCUC
rnacentral:misc_RNA from 1 species